AUUUACUUAGCUGGCCUUAUAUGAUCUUGAAAGCUAAACAGGAUUAGGCCUGCUUAGUAUUCAGAUGGGAGAUUUCUAAGGAAUACCAGGCCUGUAGAUU
rnacentral:rRNA from 1 species